rnacentral:rRNA from 1 species
GAUGAACGCUAGCGGCAGGCUUAAUACAUGCAAGUCGUGGGGCAGCAUGAUGUAGCAAUACAUUGAUGGCGACCGGCAAACGGGUGCGGAACACGUACACAACCUUCCUUUUAGUGGGGAAUAGCCCAGAGAAAUUUGGAUUAAUACCCCAUAAGAUAAUGAGAUGGCAUCAUCUUAUUAUUAAAGCUUCGGCGCUAGAAGAUGGGUGUGCGGCUGAUUAGGUAGUUGGCGGGGUAACGGCCCACCAAGCCUACGAUCAGUAGCUGAUGUGAGAGCAUGAUCAGCCACACGGGCACUGAGACACGGGCCCGACUCCUACGGGAGGCAGCAGUAAGGAAUAUUGGACAAUGGACGCAGGUCUGAUCCAGCCAUGCCGCGUGAAGGAUUAAGGUCCUCUGGAUUGUAAACUUCUUUUAUUUGGGACGAAAAAAGAUCAUUCUUGAUCACUUGACGGUACCAGAUGAAUAAGCACCGGCUAACUACGUGCCAGCCGCCGCAGUAAUAC